GAGGAGGUAGUUAAACUAUAACCUUAUGUUGUCGACCUGAAAUUGCUGCGGCCCUCUUCG
rnacentral:tRNA from 1 species